rnacentral:rRNA from 1 species
UACGGGGGGGAGCAAGCGUUGUUCGGAUUUACUGGGCGUAAAGGGCGCGUAGGCGGCCACCGCAAGUCGACUGUGAAAUCUCCGGGCUUAACCCGGAAAGGUCAGCCGAUACUGCGGGGCUAGAGUGCAGAAGGGGCAACUGGAAUUCUCGGUGUAGCGGUGAAAUGCGUAGAUAUCGAGAGGAACACCUGCGGCGAAGGCGGGUUGCUGGGCUGACACUGACGCUGAUGUGCGAAAGCUAGGGGGAGCGAACGGG